UGCCAGACUCCUACGGGAGGCAGCAGUGAGGAAUAUUGGUCAAUGGGCGGGAGCCUGAACCAGCCAAGUCGCGUGAAGGGUGACGGCCCUACGGGUUGUAAACUUCUUUUGUCAGGGAGCAAUUGAGUCCACGUGUGGGCUUAGCGAGAGUACCUGAAGAAAAAGCAUCGGCUAACUCCGUGCCAGCAGCCGCGGUAAUACGGAGGAUGCGAGCGUUAUCCGGAUUUAUUGGGUUUAAAGGGUGCGUAGGCGGAAUAUCAAGUCAGCGGUAAAAAUUCGGGGCUCAACCCCGUCGUGCCGUUGAAACUGAUGUUCUUGAGUGGGCGAGAAGUAUGCGGAAUGCGUGGUGUAGCGGUGAAAUGCAUAGAUAUCACGCAGAACUCCGAUUGCGAAGGCAGCAUACCGGCGCUCAACUGACGCUCAUGCACGAAAGCGUGGGUAUCGAACAGGAUUAGAUACCCCAGUA
rnacentral:rRNA from 1 species